GUGCCAGCAGCCGCGGUAAUACGUAGGUGGCAAGCGUUAUCCGGAAUUAUUGGGCGUAAAGGGCACGCAGGCGGUGCGUUAAGUCUGAUGUGAAAGCCCCCGGCUCAACCGGGGAAGGUCAUUGGAAACUGGCGCACUUGAGUGCAGAAGAGGAGAGUGGAAUUCCAUGUGUAGCGGUGAAAUGCGCAGAGAUAUGGAGGAACACCAGUGGCGAAAGCGGCUCUCUGGUCUGUAACUGACGCUGAGGUGCGAAAGCGUGGGGAUCAAACAGGAUUAGAAACCCCCGUAGUCC
rnacentral:rRNA from 1 species